rnacentral:sRNA from 1 species
CUGUUUCAAUUUGUUGUGGUGAAAUAAAGUGAAUAUGUGUAUCAAUACCGCCAGCUGUCAAAAUUUUAUUCUCACCAGCGAUGAUUUCUGUGGAAGCACCAAUUGGAAUCGUUACAUUGUCCAUUACUAAUGGGUUUCCGGCUUUGCCAAUCGCUGCAAUUUUGCCAUCUUUUACGGAAAUAUCAGCUUUGAAAAUACCUGUGUAAUCGAUAACCGUAGCGUUUGUAAUUACUAAAUCAGGAAUUCCUUCAUCGCGUGUUGCUGUUGGAUGCAUGCCCAUGCCUUCACGA